rnacentral:rRNA from 1 species
GACGAACGCUGGCGGCGUGCUUAACACAUGCAAGUCGAACGAUGAAGCUGGAGCUUGCUCCGGUGGAUUAGUGGCGAACGGGUGAGUAACACGUGAGCAAUCUGCCCUUGACUCUGGGAUAACUGCGGGAAACUGUAGCUAAUACCGGAUACGAGGCUCGAAGGCAUCUUCGGGUCUGGAAAGAAUUUCGGUCAAGGAUGAGCUCGCGGCCUAUCAGCUUGUUGGUGAGGUAAUGGCUCACCAAGGCGACGACGGGUAGCCGGGCUGAGAGGGUGACCGGCCACACUGGGACUGAGACACGGCCCAGACUCCUACGGGAGGCAGCAGUGGGGAAUAUUGCACAAUGGGCGAAAGCCUGAUGCAGCAACGCCGCGUGAGGGAUGAAGGCCUUCGGGUUGUAAACCUCUUUUAGCAGGGAAGAAGCGAAAGUGACGGUACCUACAGAAAAAGCACCGGCUAACUACGUGCCAGCCGCCGCGGUAA